AGUCGCACGAGAAGGGUAGCAAUACCUGAGUACAGUGGCGCACGGGUGAGUAACACGUGAAUCAUCUACCUUCGAGUGGGGAAUAACUGGGAGAAAUCUCAGCUAAUACCGCAUAAUACCCACGGGUCAAAGCAGCAAUGCGCUUGAAGAGGAGUUCGCGGCAGAUUAGUUAGUUGGCGGGGUAAUGGCCCACCAAGACGAUGAUCUGUAUCCGGCCUGAGAGGGCGCACGGACACACUGGAACUGAAACACGGUCCAGACUCCUACGGGAGGCAGCAGUGGGGAAUUUUGCGCAAUGGGGGAAACCCUGACGCAGCAACGCCGCGUGGAGGAUGAAAUCCCUUGGGAUGUAAACUCCUUUCGAUCGGGACGAUUAUGACGGUACCGGAAGAAGAAGCCCCGGCUAACUUCGUGCCAGCAGCCGCGGUAAUACGAGGGGGGCAAGCGUUGUUCGGAAUUAUUGGGCGUAAAGGGCGCGUAGGCGGUUUGACAAGUCUGAUGUGAAAUCUAUGGGCUCAACCCAUAGCCUGCAUUAGAAACUGUCGGGCUUGAGUAUGGGAGAGGUGAGUAGAAUUUCCGGUGUAGCGGUGAAAUGCGUAGAUAUCGGAAGGAACACCUGUGGCGAAAGCGGCUCACUGGACCAUAACUGACGCUGAGGCGCGAAAGCUAGGG
rnacentral:rRNA from 1 species